rnacentral:rRNA from 1 species
UAGGGAAUCUUCCNCAAUGGACGCAAGUCUGAUGGAGCAACGCCGCGUGAGUGAAGAAGGUUUUCGGACCGUAAAGCUCUGUUGUUGGUGAAGAAGGAUAGAGGUAGUAACUGGCCUUUAUUUGACGGUAAUCAACCAGAAAGUCACGGCUAACUACGUGCCAGCAGCCGCGGUAAUACGUAGGUGGCAAGCGUUGUCCGGAUUUAUUGGGCGUAAAGCGAGCGCAGGCGGAAGAAUAAGUCUGAUGUGAAAGCCCUCGGCUUAACCGAGGAAUUGCAUCGGAAACUGUUUUCUUGAGUGCAGAAGAGGAGAGUAGAACUCCAUGUGUAGCGGUGGAAUGCGUAGAUAUAUGGAAGAAUACCAGUGGCGAAGGCGGCUCUCUGGUCUGCAACUGACGCUGAGGCUCGAAAGCAUGGGUAGCGAACAGGAUUAGAUACCCUGGUAGUCCAUGCCGUAAACGAUGAGUGCUAAGUGUUGGGAGGCUUCCGCCUCUCAGUGCUGCAGCUAACGCAUUAAGCACUCCGCCU